GGUUAAGCGAACAAGCGUACACGGUGGAUGCCCUGGCAGUCAGAGGCGAUGAAGGACGUGCUAAUCUGCGAAAAGCGCCGGUAAGGUGAUAUGAACCGUUAUAACCGGCGAUGUCCGAAUGGGGAAACCCGGUGCACUUCGGUGCAUCAUCGUUAGCUGAAUACAUAGGCUAACGAGGCGAACCGGGGGAACUGAAACAUCUAAGUACCCCGAGGAAAAGAAAUCAACCGAGAUUCCCCCAGUAGCGGCGAGCGAACGGGGAACAGCCCAGAGCCUGAAUCAGCUUGUGUGUCAGUGGAACGGUCUGGAAAGGCCGGCGAUACAGGGUGACAGCCCCGUACACGAAGGCACACAGGCUGUGAGCUCGAUGAGUAGGGCGGGACACGUGAUAUCCUGUCUGAAGAUGGGGGGACCAUCCUCCAAGGCUAAAUACUCCUGACUGACCGAUAGUGAACCAGUACCGUGAGGGAAAGGCGAAAAGAACCCCGGCGAGGGGAGUGAAACAGAACCUGAAACCGUGUACGUACAAGCAGUGGGAGCCUUCGUAAGAGGGUGACUGCGUACCUUUUGUAUAAUGGGUCAGCGACUUAUAUUCUGUAGCAAGGUUAACCGUAUAGGGGAGCCGAAGGGAAACCGAGUCUUAACCGGGCGUUAAGUUGCAGGGUAUAGACCCGAAACCCGGUGAUCUAGCCAUGGGCAGGUUGAAGGUUGGGUAACACUAACUGGAGGACCGAACCGACUAAUGUUGAAAAAUUAGCGGAUGACCUGUGGCUGGGGGUGAAAGGCCAAUCAAACCGGGAGAUAGCUGGUUCUCCCCGAAAGCUAUUUAGGUAGCGCCUCGUGAACUCAUCUCCGGGGGUAGAGCACUGUUUCGGCUAGGGGGCCAUCCCGGCUUACCAACCCGAUGCAAACUGCGAAUACCGGAGAAUGUUAUCACGGGAGACACACGGCGGGUGCUAACGUCCGUCGUGAAGAGGGAAACAACCCAGACCGCCAGCUAAGGUCCCAAAGUCAUGGUUAAGUGGGAAACGAUGUGGGAAGGCACAGACAGCCAGGAUGUUGGCUUAGAAGCAGCCAUCAUUUAAAGAAAGCGUAAUAGCUCACUGGUCGAGUCGGCCUGCGCGGAAGAUGUA
rnacentral:rRNA from 1 species